rnacentral:rRNA from 1 species
CACGAGCGGACGAACGGGUGAGUAACACGUGGGUGACCUGCCCUCAGCUCUGGGAUAAGCCUGGGAAACUGGGUCUAAUACCGGAUAGGACCUGGCCUCGCAUGGGGUUGGGUGGAAAGUUUUUCGGCUGGGGAUGGGCCCGCGGCCUAUCAGCUUGUUGGUGGGGUGAUGGCCUACCAAGGCGACGACGGGUAGCCGGCCUGUAGAGGGCGACCGGCCACACUGGGACUGAGACACGGCCCAGACUCCUACGGGAGGCAGCAGUGGGGAAUAUUGCGCAAUGGGCGGAAGCCUGACGCAGCGACGCCGCGUGGGGGAUGACGGCCUUCGGGUUGUAAACCUCUUUCGACCGGGACGAAGCGUGAGUGACGGUACCGGUAGAAGAAGCACCGGCCAACUACGUGCCAGCAGCCGCGGUAAUACGUAGGGUGCGAGCGUUGUCCGGAAUUAUUGGGCGUAAAGAGCUCGUAGGCGGUGUGUCGCGUCGGUCGUGAAAACUUGGGGCUUAACCCUGAGCUUGCGGUCGAUACGGGCAUCACUUGAGUUCGGCAGGGGAGACUGGAAUUCCUGGUGUAGCGGUGAAAUGCGCAGAUAUCAGGAGGAACACCGUUGGCGAAGGCGGGUCUCUGGGCCGAUACUGACGCUGAGGAACGAAAGCGUGGGGAGCCGAACAGGAUUAGAUACCCUGGUAGUCCACGCCGUAAACGGUGGGCGCUAGGUGUGGGGCCAUUCCACGGUCUUUGGCCGACUA